UUCCCAAACUGGCAAAGGCCUUCCCAGGGGUCAGAGAAACUUCUGAUAGAAGGAAGACUAGGACCUCCCUCCCUCCUUCCGCCAAUCAUACUGCAAGUGGACAAGAGCUCAGCACAGGCCGGACAGAAGGCAAACACACCAUGAACGGCCCUCAUUGUCUGCUUAUUCCGCUCACCCCUCAUCUUUCUUCCUCUCCAGGGAGGUGCUGGGACCAGAGUGUUCAGAUGCCCCCAGGGGUCAGGAAUGGGAAAUCCUGGAGCAGGGUAGAGGGCAGAGCCACGGGGACACACUGUGCUCUUGGGAAAGGAGCGAGCCCGAUCCUGGGCACUGGAACAAGCUGUCCCAGCUCACUUGAGUGGCUCUUAACCCAGCAGGUGGCACGCCACUGCUCCGGUCACGGACACCUGCCUGGGGCCCACUGCCUCACCAGGGGCUGAGCUGACAAACAGCUUAAUAAGCUGCCCCUCACAAUGUCGCCAGGAGGCGAGGGAAGCUGCUCUGACUUCAAGGGAGGGGACAGGAAAAUUCACAUUUCGUGGAGUACUUAUCAUGUGCCUGGUGCUGAGGGGCCUCAUGGCCUUUGUAGCAUUAAAUGGGGGAUAAAUAUAGAACGAAUAAUGAAGAACUACAGACCCAUUGAUAGUAAAGUAUAUCAGGUGCGACAUUAAGUACCUUUCUGGUAAACAACCUUGUUUAAGCCUCACAAAUAUCACGUACCUUCGCUG